rfam:Felis catus isolate Cinnamon breed Abyssinian chromosome D4, whole genome shotgun sequence.
GCCUGGCUGGUUCAGUCAAUAGAACCUGAGACUCCUGAUCUCAGGGUUGUAAGUUCAAGCCCCAUGUUAGGCA